rnacentral:rRNA from 1 species
GACGAACGCUGGCGGCGUGCUUAACACAUGCAAGUCGAACGGAAAGGCCCUGCUUUUGUGGGGUGCUCGAGUGGCGAACGGGUGAGUAACACGUGUGUAACCUGCCCUUGACUUUGGGAUAACUUCAGGAAACUGGGGCUAAUACCGGAUAGGAGCUCCUGCUGCAUGGUGGGGGUUGGAAAGUUUCGGCGGUUGGGGAUGGACUCGCGGCUUAUCAGCUUGUUGGUGGGGUAGUGGCUUACCAAGGCUUUGACGGGUAGCCGGCCUGGGAGGGUGACCGGCCACAUUGGGCCUGAGAUACGGCCCAGACUCCUACGGGAGGCAGCAGUGGGGAAUAUUGCACAAUGGGCGGAAGCCUGAUGCAGCAACGCCGCGUGCGGGAUGACGGCCUUCGGGUUGUAAACCGCUUUCGCCUGUGACGAAGCGUGAGUGACGGUAAUGGGUAAAGAAGCACCGGCUAACUACGUG